rnacentral:misc_RNA from 1 species
UUUCCGUAGGUGAACCUGCGGAAGGAUCAUUACUGAAGUGAGUCUUCAUCAUUGAAGCUUCUUCCCAUUGUGCUGGCUUUGACCGUAUGUAAUGUUGGGGAUUAAACAUAGUUGAAAUUUAUUUUAGCCGUCCCCAACAAUUUAUCUUAUCCUUUAUUAAAUUGAACUGAACUCAUUUUGAGAUUACAUAAAAAAUAAUCUUUUAAUACAACUUUCAACAACGGAUCUCUUGGUUCUC